rnacentral:lncRNA from 1 species
CAUCUUCUUCUUCUUCUUCUUCUUCUUCUUCUUCUUCUUCUUCUUCUAGCCCUUCUAUUGGAGAACUCUCAAUUCACACAAGUACCAUUCUCCCACUACCAUCAAGAUCAUAUUUGGUUACAUAAAAGUUUUAGUCUUUAUCUUUUGAAUAUGUUAGAAUGUUAUCUUCAAGAAUCAAGAUGGGUUAAGCUUAUUUGAAACCCUAGGUUGGAUUUGUAGAGAAACUCUCUCAAACUUGUGGUAAGAUUCUUGUUCAACAUAUUUGGGUGAAAUUAUUAAGUUUGUUGUUAGAGAAUUUGAUAUUUUGAAAGUAAGAGAUUUAAUCCCGUUUUUGAACUGGGAAGCAGUUAGUAGUUUGAGCUUAACUUUUUCUCUAAAACUCGGAUUGUAGUACUUCAAAAUUCUGAAAAAAUAUAAGACAUAGAUCUACAAUUGGUAUGAAGACCGAAAUGGCCAGUUCUUCCCUCUACUAUGUCAAAAAGGAUCUGAAAUACAGGACAGAGUUGCUGCCAGAUUUUUAUUAAAAUAUUUGUGACCCAUUUAGUCCCCCUUUUGAUAUUCAUCAUGAUUUGGUUUAAAUAUAUUUAAAUUUCAGACCUUAAGUGAGUUUUGAUUAUGUGUUUAAGGUACAAGAUACAUUCGUUCAAGUUAAGGAGCACACCUUAGGAAAAUCGCUCUUUUCUUGGCUUAGAAGAUCUUAAAUCCCUUGAUGUCGUUUGAGCUUUAAAAACACUAAAGCUCCAAGGUUUGCACAUAAACUUGAGUGUUUCUUUCAAUUUAAUUUGUUGAGAUAUUGUAAGUGGUUAAGGUUUGGUGAAUUUUUUUUUUACCUUACUUUAAAUUUGUUGUCAUAUUGACUUGGUUGCUACUUUACUAGUUUACUUGCAUUGUUGCUUGACAAAGAAUAUCUUGAGGCAUUUUGAUUUAUUAGUGGUCAUUGAGGGUAUAAUUUCGUAAUUGAGUUAUGAAUAUGUUAAAAAUUAUAUGGGUGUCAUGUGAAGUAUUUUUGAAAGACAAUUUAACUCGCCCACAUAUAUGGAUUGCUUGAGCACCACUCAUUCUUGUUGGGAUUUUAUCCCUCUCGUGAUAGUGACUUUGUCACUUUUAUUGGCAUGCCUUUUUAUUUGGAUCUUGACCCAUCUUGACUUUGGAUUCACAUUUCAUCUUAAUCAUGGACUUUGUCCAUUUUGAGUAUGGAUGGGAAAGCCACUUUCAAUAUGGCUCUUGAUUCUGUUGAUAAUUGGGUGACGACCCUACUUGAUCUAGGACUCCGGUCCUUCUUGUUACUUGAUUUUGCUUUGAUGUAAUUGCAUGACGCAUGUGUUGGGCGAAUCAACUAAUCGGUGGACUUUCUCGGAUUAUAGUCGAAAAUCUUCUUGACAUUUGACAUUUUGGAUAAUGGUAUCUUGAACAAUGUUAUAAUUUUAUAUUUAGUCCUCUUGAGAUGAUUGCGCCUUCAUUAAGUACUUGAUGUUGAUUUUAAUAAGCUCAUAUCUGGAAUUUAUUCCUUGUAUUCAUUUUAUAGUUUACCUUUCUUUUAUUAUGAUAUGUUAGUUAAGUUUAUGUGCCACUAAGCUUUAUGCUUAGCGAUAGUUUGUUACUAUCGUAGGUGAUGUGCCGGGAGAUGCUUGAGGAUAUCAUUUGAAGUAGACUCUUUGGAAGAUUAGAUGAAGAUCACACUUGCAUAUGCAUAUGUAAUUGUUUGUUUGUAGACUUUUGGGGACUCGUACAUGAUCCUUAUGAUACACUUAGAUAUGCACUCUUGAAUGAUUAUUAGGUCAUGACACUAUUAUUUUGGUAACUUAAUCUUGGUGAAUGAUUUGACCCUUUUUUGGGAGGUGUUUAUGCCCAAGUUUUGUAAUUUAUUAAAUUUAUUACUUGAAUUGAACUUGGGAGAUUUUUAUUUUUG